rnacentral:rRNA from 1 species
GAUGAACGCUAGCGGCAGGCUUAAUACAUGCAAGUCGAGGGGCAGCGCAGUGUAGCAAUACAUGGGCGGCGACCGGCAAACGGGUGCGGAACACGUACGCAAUCUAACCCAAAACUGAUGAAUAGCCCUCGAAAGGAGGAUUAAUACAUCGUAACCUAUUAGAGUAGCAUUACUUUAUUAGUAUAGCUCCGGCGGUUUUGGAUGAGCGUGCGCCUGAUUAGAUAGNGGCGGGGUAACGGCCACCAAGUCUGCGAUCAGUAACUGGUGUGAGAGCACGACCAGUCACACGGGCACUGAGACAC